CACGUAGGGCGCAAGCGUUGUCCGGAAUUAUUGGGCGUAAAGAGCUCGUAGGCGGUUCGGUAAGUCAGGUGUGAAAUCUCCACGCUCAACGUGGAGGCGCCACCUGAAACUGCCGUGACUCGAGUCCGGUAGGGGAGUGUGGAAUUCCCGGUGUAGCGGUGAAAUGCGCAGAUAUCGGGAGGAACACCAGUGGCGAAGGCGGCUUCCUGGCCUGUUCUUGACGCUGAGGCGCGAAAGCUAGGGGAGCAAACGGG
rnacentral:rRNA from 1 species